rnacentral:rRNA from 1 species
AUUGAACGCUGGCGGCAGGCUUAACACAUGCAAGUCGAGCGGAGAUGAGGUGCUUGCACCUUAUCUUAGCGGCGGACGGGUGAGUAAUGCUUAGGAAUCUGCCUAUUAGUGGGGGACAACACUCCGAAAGGAAUGCUAAUACCGCAUACGUCCUACGGGAGAAAGCAGGGGAUCUUCGGACCUUGCGCUAAUAGAUGAGCCUAACUCGGAUUAGCUAGUUGGUGGGGUAAAGGCCUACCAAGGCGACGAUCUGUAGCGGGUCUGAGAGGAUGAUCCGCCACACUGGGACUGAGACACGGCCCAGACUCCUACGGGAGGCAGCAGUGGGGAAUAUUGGACAAUGGGGGGAACCCUGAUCCAGCCAUGCCGCGUGUGUGAAGAAGGCCUUAUGGUUGUAAAGUACUUUAAGCGAGGAGGAGGCUACUGAGACUAAUACUCUUGGAUAGUGGACGUUACUCGCAGAAUAAGCACCGGCUAACUCUGUGCCAGCCGCCGCCGUAAGAC